rnacentral:rRNA from 1 species
UACGUAGGGUGCGAGCGUUAAUCGGAAUUACUGGGCGUAAAGCGUGCGCAGGCGGUCUUUUAAGCCAGAUGUGAAAUCCCCGGGCUCAACCUGGGAAUGGCAUUUGGGACUGCAAGUCUUGAGUGCGGCAGAGGUGACUGGAAUUCCUGGUGUAGCAGUGAAAUGCGUAGAUAUCGGAAGGAAGACCAGUGGCGAAGGCGGGUCUCUGGACAGUUACUGACGCUGAGGCACGAAAGCCAGGGGAGCAAACGGG